rnacentral:rRNA from 1 species
GACAGAGGUGCCGAGCGUUAGGCGGAAUCACUGGGCGUAAAGGGUGCGUAGGCGGGUCUUUAAGUCAGGGGUGAAAUCCUGGAGCUCAACUCCAGAACUGCCUUUGAUACUGAAGAUCUUGAGUUCGGGAGAGGUGAGUGGAACUGCGAGUGUAGAGGUGAAAUUCGUAGAUAUUCGCAAGAACACCAGUGGCGAAGGCGGCUCACUGGCCCGGUACUGACGCUGAGGCACGAAAGCGUGGGGAGCAAACAGG